AUUGAACGCUGGCGGCAGGCCUAACACAUGCAAGUCGAGCGGAUGAAGGGAGCUUGCUCCUGGAUUCAGCGGCGGACGGGUGAGUAAUGCCUAGGAAUCUGCCUGGUAGUGGGGGAUAACGUCCGGAAACGGGCGCUAAGACCGCAUAGGUCCCGAGGGAGAAAGAGGGGGAUCUUCGGACCUCACGCUAUCAGAUGAGCCUAGGUCGGAUUAGCUAGUUGGUGGGGUAAAGGCCUACGAAGGCGACGAUCGGUAACUGCUAUGAAAGGAUGGUCCGUCACCCUAGCAGUGAGAGACACUCGCCACACUUGCGGGAGGCCGCAGUCGGGAAUAUUGGACGAUGCGGGAGUGCCUGAUACAGCACUGCCGCGUGUGUGCAGAAGGUCCUCCGACUGGUAAGCAAUUAAAGUUGGGAGUAAGGAAAGUAAGUUCAGCCCUGGAUGUUUUGACGUUACCAACAGAAUAAGCACCGGCUAACUUCGUG
rnacentral:rRNA from 1 species